CUUGAGUUGUGUCUCUUGAUCGUAGAUCAUCGUUGCAGCCUCUAGCUGCGGCGGAAUCGUCGUCUUCUCACUAGCUUCUAUCGGAUUUACGCUACAGUCCCAAAGGAUGUGAGCCGCGGCGGCUCUCUCCUUCGCACACAGUCUACACACGUCACUCGUGUACACACUCG
rnacentral:lncRNA from 1 species